CGUCCCUGCAUGGACUGCACACAUCAUCUGUUCGUUCGGAGCUCCGGGAACCGUGUGUGGCUUUUGCAUUAUGUAACAGGAGCACGUGGGCCAGGGCAUGGACACUCAGGGGCCAUGCAGCCAGUAUGGUACGCUGAGGGGUAACUCUGUGGUCCAGGAAGCAGACGCAGGCCACCGCUACAGGAUGUCUGGACCCUAUGACAGCAGGUAACGGACAUCUG